rnacentral:rRNA from 1 species
UACGUAGGGUGCAAGCGUUAAUCGGAAUUACUGGGCGUAAAGCGUGCGCAGGCGGUUAUGUAAGACAGUUGUGAAAUCCCCGGGCUCAACCUGGGAAUGGCGAUGAAGACUGCAAGGCUAGAAUCUGGCAGAGGGGGGUAGAAUUCCACGUGUAGCAGUGAAAUGCGUAGAGAUGUGGAGGAACACCGAUGGCGAAGGCAGCCCCCUGGGUCAAGAUUGACGCUCAUGCACGAAAGCGUGGGGAGCAAACAGG